rnacentral:rRNA from 1 species
UGGGAAGCUUGACGAUAGAGGGUGAUAGUCCCGUAUACGAAAUAAUCACAGUGGAACUAAGCAUACGAACAAGUAGGACGGGGCACGUGGAACCUUGUCUGAAUAUGGGGGGACCAUCCUCCAAGGCUAAAUACUCCUGAAUGACCGAUAGUGAACUAGUACCGUGAGGGAAAGGUGAAAAGAACCCUUAUAAAGGGAGUGAAAUAGAAUCUGAAACCGCUUGCAUACAAGCAGUAGGAGCAUGAUUUAGUCAUGUGACUGCGUACCUUUUGUAUAAUGGGUCAGCGAGUUAUUUUUAGUGGCGAGGAUAACUGAAUAAGGGAUCCGUAGCGAAAGCGAGUUUUAAUAGGGCGACUAGUCGCUAGGAGUAGACCCGAAACCGGCGCGAUCUAUCCAUGGCCAGGUUGAAGAUUAGGUAGUACUAAUUGGAGGACCGAACCCAAUACUGUUGCAAAAGUAUGGGAUGAGCUGUGGAUCGGAGUGAAAGGCUAAUCAAGCACGGAGAUAGCUGGUUCUCCCCGAAAACUAUUUAGGUAGUGCCUCGUGUAUAACUCAUUGGGGUAAAGCACUGUUUCGACAAUGGGGGUUUUACGACCUUACUGACUCGAUGCAAACUCAGAAUACGAUGAAGUUCGAUCACGGGAGACACACUGCGGGUGCUAAGGUCCGCAGUGGAAAGGGAAACAGCCCAGACCGCCAACUAAGGUCCCAAAGUCAUAGCUAAGUGGGAAACGAAGU